UAAUGAAAAUAGAAAAAGGGUAGUUGCUCAACACAACUACCCAAUGCAGAACCGUUUAAGACGGUGGCAUGUUUGAGAUUAUUUAAAA
rnacentral:sRNA from 1 species